rnacentral:misc_RNA from 1 species
AGCAGUUAGUGUGGGCGAUGCGUCGGUGGACAGGGAUUAUUAUUUUGGACGUGAAACUUUUUUGCCAAAAACAGUUGCGCAAUAUUUGCGAACAAAAAUGUCAAUGCCGACUCGUCGAAUGAUCGGAAUGUGGUCAAACACAAGAAGAUAUAAAAGAAAUAACAUAAAAUAAAUACAAUAUCCGUUUCUGAUAGAAAUUUUAAGAUAAAUUGUAAAAUUGAUAGCCGUAACUUUGGCUGAGCAGCUGCUCAAUAAAAUAAUCAUGGCUUUCUGGUGUGCCGGAAAACAAAUGCGCAUUUAACAUUCAUGCGGCCGCAACGAUGAGUGGCCAAAAAUCAAGAGGGCAGACCAAUGCAGCAAUGCAAAUCCUGGCAAGGAUUAAACGCCAAAGGACGCAUAUACCACCGGACCAGGCGACCAGUCGACCAGGCGACCGUUCCACGUGCCCCUCCGUGCUGGUCGCUUUCUUUGGCCAGCACGUUAUGGAAAGGCAGCCACAAAGUCAUUUCACUGGGUCGGAUGUUUGCGGGCAAAUGAAAGGACGCACAAACGGCAGAGCCCAGUUCAGACAACGACAAACAGAGAUGAAUAUGGUAAGAGGGUAAGUGAGGGGUGGGGAGUGGGGGUUGGUAUUGAGAAUUGGGUAAGGGGAGGCUUGUCUGCUCGCUUAGCACGAAGAAGUCGUAAAUUUCAGCUGCAGCCUUUGGACAGUUUAAUUUCGAUUUCCCUUUUAGCCAAUGGUUGCGAAAAUGGCGCGUGCUCAGUGCCAAAUGAAAAAUGACCAAAACGAGUUCGGGAUUGCGAAUUGCGGGAACGAAAGCGUCAACUACCAGGACCGAUACAAGUCAUAUAUAAACGACCCUUGGCAGCAAACAAUCAACUUUUAUACAAACGUUAUCCACCAACUUUCUACAAGUACGGGUGAAAUUUCCAAUAUCGCUGAAACAGGUAUUUAUUAAGUUCAUAUGUAGAACUGCGAAAACUGUGAAACUCUUCUCAAAUGAUUUAUCUUAUAGAUAUUUGAAAAUAAAUUGGAGCGCAAAAUGUGAUCCACCAAAUCUUUGACCCCAAAAUGGAAUUUCCCGAAACCCCGCCCUAACGUGCACCUAUAUCAUAUAAUUUAACUACAGUGAAACUUUCAGCUUCGCAGCUCUUAUGGUUUGGGCUGUGCGUUGAUCACCAAUCGCCAUCAUCAUCGCCUAGCGAUACGGAACCUAGUGGACCCACAUAGACGACCGAAUACCUGCAAAAUGCGCACGGAAACGUUCCAGAC